UCAAUGAAUAUCUUCAUUACACCGUGCACUGGACUUUGGGCAGAAAUGCCCUAAGUAACACACAACCCUAUACAUUAUAGCAGAGUCAAUUAGGAAACUAAUAAUGA
rnacentral:misc_RNA from 1 species